GGAAAGAGAAAGAUAAAUAAGUUUGGUUUUUUCAUGUUUAAGAUUAAUAUUAAUCGCUGCAAAAAAUCCCACUAACAAAGUCUUGAGAAUCGUAUUUAGUAAAAAAAAAAAAAGGUUUUGAGAAUCGUAUAAUCAUUCUAACUAUGUUGGGCCUAUUCCAUUCUAACUAAGUCGGGCCUUCAACUAAUGGGCCUAUUCCUUUUUCUUCUUCACGCCGUCGUGAAACUCGCCCUCCACAGCCAUGCCGUCGUGAAAAUAUCCCAAAAAUACAAACCCCUACCGCUCCGAUUCGUAUCGCGCUUCUGACUCGUUAUCUCCGAAACUCAAUCCUCAAAUUAUCAAUUUCAGAUUCCGGUGUGUUUCUUCUGCAUUCUCAGUCGGUAGUUCCACCUGCAAACCUCGUGUCAUUCAGAAUGGCUAAGGGUUUGAUAUGGGCAACAGCCGAGGAUUUGCAAAGGAACAGGGGCCGAGUUUUGUCCUUAUAUCGUCAGAUAUUGCGAAGCCUGAAUUCUCCUUCGUUGCCACUGACCUUCGCUGCGAGAAUUGCGAAGAAAACGAAGGUGCGUUCAAUGUUUUGGGUGGGUUCUGAUGAACGGUCUUUGCAUAACAUUGCUGACCUAAUUGAUGCUGCCGAAUACUCUCUAUCCUUUCUCAAAAAAGGCCAAUUUCCCCCUCGUCACAUCACCUGAACCACACAUUCCAUUUCGCUCAUCGCAAUUUGGUAUGAAAGUUCAUGCUUGCAAUUAUGAUACUAUUUGGUUGUUUAUAUGGAAGAAAUAGGCAUAAGAUAUGAUUUGUAUUUUACCAUUUUGCGUUGGCCAAUGUUCAAAAUUGACAACGGAAUACCCAAUUUGGUCAUUGAAAUUUUAGUAUUGUUAUUGUCUGUGUUGGUACUAUAUAGACUAUAAGGAUGUUGAAUUGGUAAUUUCAAGGAUGAAUUUGAAAUUAAAGUUCAAUGUUAAUGUCAAAGAUGCAUUGGUUCCAAUAUAAAGAUGAACUAGAUUAACAUUAUGAAGCUUCAGAUCAUUUUGUAAUAUUGAUAAUGUGGAAGACUAGGUUUAUACAAUGGUACAAUUUCAGACACCAACUUGGAUAUUUUGCCCAUACAUAUCUUAUUAGCCAAAUCCAAUCUUUUAGAAUAUGUCAAACCUAAAUUCUACUUAUUGUAUUCUUAUAACAACAGUUCCUAGUUAGAUCAAUUAAGUUAUGGAUGAUCGAUAUAGGAGGAGAUUGUUAUACUAAUAUUUUUCUUUUAUUCUUGCUCUUCCAAGUGUUCUUGAGAGUUGGUUAUUCUAGAUUCUGUUUCAUAUAUUCAGUUGCAUGAAAGUGACUCUAACUUUUCUUCUGGGGUUUCUUUUUAGCAUGGGAAUGGGAUUGGCAAUGCUAUUGUUUGAUUGUGCAAUGCUUUCUUAUUCUUCAUUGUCUUUGUGGCUUAUGUUGCAGAAUUUGGAUUUAAAUUGAUUGACCGACCUUUUCCAA